GUGCCUUGCAAAAGUAUUCACCCCCCCAUCCCCCUUGGCAUUUGCUUAUUUAAACAUUUAUCAAUUUUUGUAGAUAUUUUUAGCAUAUGAACAUAAUGUAUAUAUAGGUUUUUGGAUGAUGUACGUAUUAAAGGAAGAGUCCUCAAAAUCAUAUUUGAAUUUAACAUGUGUCCUCUUGUUUUAUUAACAUUUAUGUUAAAAUUAUUUAAUAAAGUUAUACAAAUUAGAACAUUGUGUACAGUAUUAUAAAGGAAACACGUGGUGCAUAGUUCUCAAGCAUUAUAAAAGGUAUUGUGUACAGAUAGUUUUUCCUUGAUAUUGUCUGCAUUCUUUUGGACACAAGGUUCUUCAUUGGGGGCGGGGUCUGACAGACAACCGAGCAGGUUGCACAUGGCUGGAGCUCCUCAGAUUCAGGCUGCAAUAUUGCUGGUAUCCUGAUAAACUUGUUCUAACUCAGCCCGAAAACCUAAUGAUAAAUUAUACUUUACGAAAUCAGUUUUUAAACAAGAUUUUGUGAUAACCUACUUAUUUAAU